GUGUCCUAUAUAGCAAGUAAUUACACAUGUAUGUCUCUAUAUAGACAGGUAAUUAAAGAUUAUAACACUUUAUAACCUCUGCUACAAUACUACAGUAUUCCACAUACACCCAACACUACACUAUCACUAACACAGCCAAUACACAUGUAUUACAUAUUUAGCAGGUUACAUAACUCUUAACCAGUUUAUAAAUCAUGCAACCAGUUAGUAAAGUCCCAUGAAGCCCUAGCAUCUAUUGGUCAGUAGAUCUGAAGCCCUAGCAUCUAUUGGUCAGUAGAUCUGAAGCCCUAGCAUCUAUUGGUCAGUAGAUCUGAAGCCCUAGCAUCUAUUGGUCAGUAGAACUAGGAAUGAUCAGUGGUUGUAGAACACAUGAGACUGAUGUUUGUUCUCUCUCUCCAGAAACCAGCCCCAGCCAAGACUGAACCCAAGGCCAAGAAGGAGAAACCAGCAAAGAAAGAGAAGGCUGUGAAUAGCCAAGAGGAGGAAAGAAACUAAGAAGGCAGCAGCGAAGAGAACGCAGAGGCUGAAGCUGCUGAGAGGAACCACUCUGAGAACGAGAUGCCAAGACAACCAGGUAAUAACAUACUUACUGGACAUUUUACUACUAUACUGUAGACUGCUAUACUAUAUAACUACUCUACUGUAGACUACUAUACUAUAUACUGCUCUACUGUAGACUACAGUACUAUAGACUACUAUACUGUAGACUACUAUACUAUAGACUACUAUACUGUAACUACUACUGUAGACACAGUACUAUAGACUACUCUACUGUAGCUACAGUACUAUAGCUACUCUACUGUAGACUACAGUACUUUAGACUACUCUACUCGUAGACUACAGUAUGUAAACUACUCUCUCUGUAGAUAACAGUACUGUAGACUACGCUACAUGCACUACUAUCCUAUUACUACUAUACUAUAUAAUACUCUACAGUGCAC
rnacentral:lncRNA from 1 species